UACGUAGGGCGCAAGCGUUUGUCCGGAAUUAUUGGGCGUAAAGAGCUCGUAGGCGGCUUGUCGCGUCGGAUGUGAAAGCCCGGGGCUUAACCCCGGGUCUGCAUUCGAUACGGGCAGGCUAGAGUUCGGUAGGGGAGAUCGGAAUUCCUGGUGUAGCGGUGAAAUGCGCAGAUAUCAGGAGGAACACCGGUGGCGAAGGCAGGUCUCUGGGCCACUACUGACGCUGAGAAGCGAAAGCAUGGGGAGCGAACAGG
rnacentral:rRNA from 1 species